GACGAAGGGGGCAAGCGUUGUUCGGAAUUACUGGGCGUAAAGGGCGCGUAGGCGGCUUUUUAAGUCCGCCGUCAAAUCCCAGGGCUCAACUCUGGACAGGCGGUGGAAACUACCAAGCUGGAGUACGGUAGGGGCAGAGGGAAUUUCCGGUGGAGCGGUGAAAUGCGUAGAGAUCGGAAAGAACACCAGUGGCGAAGGCGGCUCACUGGCCCGGUACUGACGCUGAGGUGCGAAAGCGUGGGGAGCAAACAGG
rnacentral:rRNA from 1 species